rnacentral:rRNA from 1 species
GACGAACGCUGGCGGCGUGCUUAACACAUGCAAGUCGAACGGAAAGGCCCUGCUUUUGUGGGGUGCUCGAGUGGCGAACGGGUGAGUAACACGUGAGUAACCUGCCCUUGACUUUGGGAUAACUUCAGGAAACUGGGGCUAAUACCGGAUAGGAGCUCCUGCUGCAUGGUGGGGGUUGGAAAGUUUCGGCGGUUGGGGAUGGACUCGCGGCUUAUCAGCUUGUUGGUGGGGUAGUGGCUUACCAAGGCUUUGACGGGUAGCCGGCCUGAGAGGGUGACCGGCCACAUUGGGACUGAGAGACGGCCCAGACUCCUACAGGAGGCAGCAGUGGGGAAUAUUGCACGAUGGGCGGAAGCCUGAUGCAGCAACGCCGCGUGCGGGAUGACGGCCUUCGGGUUGUAAACCGCUUUCGCCUGUGACGAAGCGUGAGUGACGGUAAUGGGUAAAGAAGCACCGGCUAACUACGUG